UCGAGCUAAAUGGGUGAAUCACGGGUCGUCCAAGACGCUUAUGACAGGGGCAGUAUGUGAGUUACCUUCCGUGGUCCCGACACUUGCAGUUGAAAGCAGUCUUGAAAUCACGGGGUGGGGAGAAGACGGACCCAACUAUGGGUUAUUAUUCUUCUUCUUCCUCGAUGAGAGCCUUUGGGGCAUUUAUCUACAGAUUAUCAAAUGGGGUUUGCCCUAGAUGCGCCAGCACCUUCCUCAUUCAAAGAAAUGGUUUGGUCGGUAGUAACCUGUCAUCAUCACCGCCAUUUUCAUCCGAUUGUUCAUAUCAAACCCAGCCGAUGAGUGCUGUUGUGAGAAAUAUAUGGACUUUCUCUCCUGUCUGUAUGGGUAGGCGUUCCUCUAAGAUUGCCGGUAGAAAGGGGGCUCAAGAUGCAAGGAAGGCAAAGCUAUACUCAAAAAUUGGGAAGGAAGUUGUAUCUGCUGUAAAGAAAGGUGGUCCUAAUCCAAUAUCAAAUACAGUUCUGGCUGCUGUCCUUGAGAAAGCUAAGGAGCUUGAUGUACCCAAAGAAAUAUUGGAGCGCAACAUUAAGAAGGCUUCAGAGAAGGGACAAGAAGCUUUCAUUGAGAAAUUCUAUGAGGUAUAUGGUUUUGGUGGAGCUGGUAUGGUGGUUGAGGUCCUAACAGAUAAAAUUAACAGAUCAGUGGCAGCUGUUAGAGAGGUGGUGAAGGAUUAUGGUGGAAAGAUGGCAGAUCCAGGAUCCAUUAUGUUCAAGUUUAGACGUGCUCGAGUUGUAAAUAUAAGAGUUACUGAUGCCAACAGAGAUCAGCUCUUUGCCAUUGCUUUAGAUGCUGGUGCUGAGGAUGUUAUUGAACCUCCAGAGUAUGAAGAUGACGCAGACGAAGAUAAGUCUGAAAGAUAUUAUAAAAUUGUAUGUUCUUCGGAAACAUACUCAACCAUAUUGUCUAAGUUACGCGAUGAUGGAAUAAAUUUUGAACCUGAUAACGGAAUGGAGCUACUUCCAGCGACCACCAUUGAGCAACCAUGAUAUCUUCUCUCCCUCCCUAAAGAUCAGGUGCAUCACUGCCGUUCAACUCAGUGACAACCUUCGUUAUGUUACUUCCAAUAUGCCACUGAUAUGCAUCCCCCAGUGCCGUCAUGAAGAAAACCCACCAUGCUAAUUUGACCAAUUUGACAACAAAAGGGCAGCAAAGAAGCUUGAAAAUGUGCUUUCCAAACCACUGUGUGUGGCACAAGUCAAGCUGGUAUCAGAAGCAACCCCUGUACCUGCUUGACUUAAUGAGGGAUUCAUUGGAGAGCUACCUGUAAUGGAUCUUCAUUGAUGUAGUGGGCAGAGAAGAUUAGAGCCGGUAGCACAUGGAAUCAGAGGAACCACCUGGCAAAGAGGAGUGGAUGAUUAUUUUGAACAGCUGGAAAUUUUCGAGAGUAUCAGUUAAGACAGCGUUUGCUAGGCCCUUUUAUAGCUGCAACUGUCCCUGCUAGCAUCCACUGUGGACGUCAACAUGGUGAGCUUUACUUACUCCACCUUUUUAUUCUUCCUCUUUCUCUAACCAUCCUGCUGUUUGUUGAGGUCUAUGGCUGUUAUGAUGAGAAAGAAGCAGCCGUACCUAUCUUCACGUACAAUGGAGCCACCAGGCCCACUGCCAAUUGCGGUCCAGGUACACACAAUGAAUAGUUGUUGUGGGGCUCUGGUGGGGGAGAUUAGGCAAUGCCAAACAAUGAGGUUCUUUUUAAUGAAUUAUUUUUGGGCCAAAUGUCUAUUCCAACUUGGAAUUGUUGUGGUUACUUUGUCACCUACCAUUUGCCUAUAAAUCGAAUGUGGCUCAUCCAAGUUGCUAAGUGGCCAUGAUUCUCUUCCUCUGCUUCCUGUGGGUCCGAUGGGGAGGCAGGCUCUGGCAGAGCCAGCAAAUUGAGAUCAUGGUUUGAAGAGCUGGCACCAUUUUUAUCGCCUCCCAUGGAAAGAGGAAAUCUUUCCAUUGCAGAAAGCAGAAGACCCUGUGGGCUUCUGAGGAGCAGGAGAAAUUGUUGGAAUUCUACGAAAGAGUCUCAGGAGCCAGGAUGCAUGCCAGUUUCAUAGGACCAGGUGAAGGGGCUUUUGAGGAGCGGGAGAAAUUGUUGGAAUUCUAUGGAAGAGUCUCAGGAACCCGGAUGCAUGCCGGUUUCAUAUGACCAGGUAGAUGAUGAGGCAAUGGACCUGAACAAGGAACUUAUGGCCAAAUUACUUGAGCUUGAUGAUGUUGAUGCUGUUUAUACGGAUCAGAAGUAAUCAGAUCUUGGGUCAUAACCUAUGUGAUUCAGCCAAUAUUAUGGUGCUGAAAAAUUGGUGCUAGCCUUUGGUUCAUGAGCAAUAUUAGUCUUUGUUCGUCUCCCAUACCUAUUCAUCAUUUGCUGAGAUGAGGUUUGUCAUGGAGACGGCUGAUAGUUGAACCAUUCUUAGGUACAAAUUUUCUUUUUGCAUGUUUGUUCCAACUGUCAAAGGAUAAUACACCCUGAAGCAAUUUUCUUU